rnacentral:rRNA from 1 species
UACGUAGGGGGCAAGCGUUGUCCGGAAUCAUUGGGCGUAAAGAGCGCGUAGGCGGCCCGAUAAGUCCGCUGUGAAAGUCAAGGGCUCAACCCUUGAAUGCCGGUGGAUACUGUCGGGCUAGAGUCCGGAAGAGGCGAGUGGAAUUCCUGGUGUAGCGGUGAAAUGCGCAGAUAUCAGGAGGAACACCAAUGGCGAAGGCAGCUCGCUGGGACGGUGACUGACGCUGAGGCGCGAAAGCGUGGGGAGCAAACAGG